AGCCUUGAAGAAAUUUGAUAAGAAAUACAGAAAGACAACAAAAAUCUGUCCAGUGUGCUAAACAUUUUUUUGUCUAUCUUUGCUUUCUAGGUUUUUCUUUGGGGCUGGGGAGUUGGUUUAUUUUUGGUAACAUAGAAGGAGUGUUUCUACAACAGCCUUACAUAAAACAUCAUUUCUUCACUGGGUAUUUUGUAACUAUACAAAUUUUCCCCUAAACUUGCUUCACAUCUGUAAGUAUUUUACAAUGCACAGCCAUUUUAAAAGGAAGGAUGUUACUAAAAGAGUAUCUGAAUUUAGAGAAGAUAUGAUAGUUUUCAUAUAUUAAUCUAAAUAUAUUAAUGCAAUUCAUAUAAAUAAGGAAAUUAUUUUGAAAAUAAUUACCUUUAAAUGUAAAUUUUUGGGAUAUCAAAGGCCAUUUGCGUUAGAAAAUCUAGCUAUGGACAUCUAUGAAGAAUAAAAUACAAACUCAAUUAUCUAAGUAGGCAAAACUUGAUCUUUAAUCUUACCUCUUUUUGUCUUCUCUCUGCAGCCUCUGCAAGCUUUGCUCUUUUCUCUUCCUAAAUAAAUGUGUAAAAAUAUGUAUUAAAAUAAUAACAAACAUUAUUAUUAAUAAAUUAUUCACAUUUAUUUCAUAGGCACUGUAACAGUUUACAAAAAUAUUCAGUACUGGCCCUAAAUGUCCCACAAAGAAUGCCACUACUCAACUUUCUGAAUUUCAUUCUCCUAAUCAAUAUACCUUCAAAUCAUCACACGCUAAAACAGAUACAAGGUUUGCCUAUAUAAUCAUUUAUUUACUCUCUUUUUUAAUAAAAAGGCCUACAAGCUAGUCAGGGCAAUAAUAAAACAAAUAAUGCUGACAAAUACAAGAAGGAAAAUACAUGGUUUGAUACUGCCAGUUAAAAUGGAGUCUGAAGUAACCUGGUGUUUUUAGGAAAGGUUAAUAAAUGAAGUGGGCUAAUCUCAGUGUGUAGGAGGGAAGGACUGGAGUAAUUUCAUGAGAGGUAUUGUUCCAUAUUAGAAAACAGUGAAUGCUAUUUUUCUAGACCAUGUACUACUUAUUAUGAAACCCUUUUUCUAGGUGCUGGGAUACAACAGUGCAAAAACAUAGAUAAAUGUCUCCUCCCAAAUGAAACAAAUUCCAAUUGCGGGCGCACAGACAAAUAUAAUGAAGUAAGUAAACGUCUGUCAGAUGGUAUGGCAGAUAAGUAAUGGGAGAAUGGGUGGGUGGUAUUGUGGGGAAUAUAUUUCGUUUAACGUGGUCAGGAAAAGCUUCACUGAUAAAGUGACAUCCAAGCAGUGAGCCGUGUGGUUAUCAAGGGAAGAGGGUAUAGUAUGAGGAUGGGGGGAGGGCUUAACAAAUCUGACACGUUAUAUUUUAUCAACACCCAGAACAACAAAAUCAACUUAAUUUAAAACAACAGCAGCAACAAAGAGAAGCUGAACUUUCCCACAUCAAAUUUAUAAGUACUAAAUUUUUAGUAUCUAUAAUAGCUGAAGAGUUAAUGUACUUCCCUAAAUACUUCAUUUUCUUCAACUAAUUUUUAGCUAGAGAAGAGAAACAGGUUUAUGUUAACUCCCUGUAAGGAGUACUAAUGUAAAGAUACUGUUAACAGAAAGCUACAAAAAGUGUACAGGUAUUGUACCACACACACACUAGCUACAUUUGAAUUUCAGAUAAGCAAUAAGUAAUGUUUUUGUAGAACUAGAUCCCUAAUAUUGCAUGGCACAAAACGAUAUUAUAAAUGUAUUCCUUGUAUAUCUGAAAUUCGAAUGUAACUGAGUGUCCAGUAUUUUUGUUAAAUACGACAACAUCAUAAAUUGGACACUCUGUACUACAUAUUCUUUUAAAGGGAGAACGUAAAAGAAUGAGAUAAAUACUAAAAAGAAAUCAUUAAAAAAACAUAUCCGAUAAAGCUCAGGUGUAUAAGCGACUUCCGAGCACCUUCUUUUAAAAGAUGGUAGACACAGUUGAAAAUGCACAUCUCCUAGACGACUAAAGAGCUCCCGGGGAAACCAAUGUCUUUUCGCGCCGAAUUCCAUCUAUCGCAUCCCCCAGAAUGUCCCACGCGCAACGCCCUCUGCGUGCGCCGGCGCCCUAUGAAUAUCCGGUGCAGCCAAAGUCAGUGGAAGGUAGAAAGACGCCACAGCCGCCUUUCGACAACUUUUUGUUACAAAAGUGGAGAUCUACACGGAGGCGACGGCCUAGGUCGCUCUGACAGGACCAACGACCCUCCUGACGCGUCCACCCGUCCUCGCUAGCAGGGUCCCCCGCGGGCUCUCGACCUGCGCCACCAGAGUUCCACUCUUUCUGUCGACAAUAAUAUGGCGCCCAAACACAUGGGGCCUCAGAGAAGACUCUGGAUCUUGAAGGAGUAUCCCAAAACCAGAGCUAAGGUACCAGCUGGAGCCCAUUGAAGCCUCACCGAGUUUGGGCUUCUCCUCCUGUGGAACUGGAAACCAAAAUCAUGGUAUUUUGAAAACCAGAGGUAUGAAUCUCCCUCAUUUGGCAUCCCACUGGGCCUGGACCUGUUUCACUGCUAAUGUUCUGCUGCCAAAACUAUACAAGUUUCCUGGACUACUGCAGAAGAGCUGAAGAAGUCCACAACCCGGAAACACCAAGACAACCAGACAAAAAAAGCCCUGAAACAAAAGUUUGCUGUUUCUAGCCAAAGAAUCAAGAAAGGAGCAGCCUAGCAUGAAAUAAACUUGUAAGCAAUGGAAAAGAAAAUUACCAAAAACAGAGAAGGAUAUUACAUGAUAAUAAAAGUGUCAGUCCAACAAAGAGAGAACAUUCCUAAACGUGCAUGCGCCAAACAAUGAAGCUGCAAAAAAAUGGGAAUCAAAAACUGACAGAAGUGAAAGAAGAAAUCAACAAAUCAGCAAUUACAGUUUGAUACUUCAACAACCUUCUCACAACAAUGGAUAGAAAAGCUAGAUAAAAAAUCAACAAGCAUACAGAAUUCAACAACGCUAUUGACCAACAAGAAACAAGAUCUGAGAACUUUUUUAGAGUACUACACCCCAGAACAGCAGAAUAUAUAUCAUUUCAGGCACUAACAGAGCAUAUACCAAGAUAGAAUACAACUUGGGUCAUAAAGCUAAUUAACCUCAACAAAUGUAAAAUAAUUAAAAACAUACAAAGUGUGUUCUUUGAUCACAAUAAAAUCAAACUAGAAACUUUUAACAGAAAGUGCCUUUAACCAUUCUGGCUGCUAUAACAAAAUACUAUGAACAGAGUAAUCUGUAAACAACAGAUAUUUAUUUCUCACAGUUUGAGCUGCAAAGUCCAAGGUCAAGGCUUCAGUAGAUCUGGUGUCUGGAGAAGAUCUAUUUCUUGGCCCGUAGAUAGUGCUUUCUUGUUAUGUCUCCACAUAGUGGAAGGUUAAGAGGUCUUUCCAAGGCUUCUCUUAUAAGAGUACUAAUCAGAUUCAUAAUGGCUCUACCUUCCUGACCUAAUUGCCUUCCAAAAGCCCCCCCACCUAAUUCCAUCACCUUGGAAGUUAGGAUUUCAACAUAUGAAUGGUGGGGAGGGGGUUAUGAUAAUUCAGUCCAUUGCAAAAAUAUAAAAGAAAAAUCUCGAAAAACUUGAAAACUAGACAACACAUGUGUGUAAAUAACCUAUAGAUCAAAGAGAAAGUCUCAGGGAAAAAGAAUACAUUGCACUGAAUGAAAGUGAAAAUACAACACAUUAACAUUUAUGAAAAAUAGCUAAAGCAGUGCUGAGAAGAAAAUUUAUAGCACCAAAUGCAUACAUUAGAAAAGAGGAAAAGUCUCAAAUUCAUCAUCUAAACUCUCACCUCAAGAAACUAAAAAAAAAAAAAAAAAAAAUCAGGACAACGUAAGCCCAAAGCAAGCAGAUAAAAAUAAAAUAAAAAAGAGCAAAGAUCAGUGAAACUGAAAAUAUAAAACGUAGAGGAAAUCAGUAAAACAAAGUGUAUUUACUCAAAAAGAUAAAAUUGAUAAACUUUUAACAACACUGGCAAAAAAUGAAGACACAUAUUACAAAUAUAAUACAUGAAAUAGGGCAUAUUACUAUAGACCCUUCAGACAAUUAAAGGAUGAUGGGGAAUAAGAUGAACAACUUAUAUAAAAAUUGACAAUUAAGAUAGAAUGGACUGCUAGUUACUUGAGAAACAUAAACUACCAAAACUUAUCCAAUAUGAAAUAGAUAAAUUGAAUAGUUCUACAACUGUGAAUAAAAUUGAAUUCAUAAAUUAAAAAUUUCCAAAAAAAUCUCCAGGACCCUAUAAUUUUGCUGGAAAAUCUAGCAAAUGUUUAAGGAAGGAUUGGCACUAAAACUGCACAAUCUCUCCUAGAGAAUAGAAAAGGAAGGAAUGCUUCCUGAUUUAUUUUAUAAAGUUAGUAUUACCCUUAUAUUAAAACCAGACACAGAAAGCACAUAAAAGAAAACUAGACCAAUGUCCCUCAAGAAUACAUAUUAAAAAAUGGUUAACAUUAUAUUAGCAUACAAUGCAGCAAUAUGUAUAACUAUACACUAUGACAAUGUGUAUAAUGACAAAGUAUGAUUCAUCAUAGGAAGCACACCUAGUUCAAUAUUCAAAAAUCAAUGUACUUUAUUAAGAGGCUAUGGAUGAAAAUUACAUGAUCAUACCAAUCAAUGCAAAAAAAGUUAGACAAAGUCAAUACUCUAAGAAAUAUAGAAAUAGAGGUGAACUUUCUUAACACAAAAUACUUACAGCUAACAUUAUAGUUAACGGGAAAAGUGUAAAUACUUUUCCUUUCAGAAUAGAAACAAGGCAAGGAUGUGUACUCUCAUCACUGGUAUUCAACAUAGUGCUAGGAGUUCUAGCCAGUGCAAUAAAACAAGCAAAGGAAAUUCAAAAAAUACAUAUUGAAAAGGAGUAAAUAAAACUGACCUGUAAGGCAUCUAAAAAACAAAAACUUCUAGAAAUAAUAAGUGAAUUCAGCAAGUUUAUAGGAUACAGAUAAACAUACAAAAAUCAGUUCUAUUUUUAUAUUCUGGCAAUGAACACCUGCAAUUAAAAAUAUAAUACUAUCUACAAAAAUAAAAUUAUAGUUGUAAAUCUAACAAAAUAUGUACAGGAUUUGAUUUCUGAAAGCCUCAAAAUACUGAUGAAAGAAAUUAAAUAAUAUCUAUAUAGUGAUUUAUACUAUGUUGAUGGGUGUCCAUAAUUCUUAAAUUGAUACACAUAUUUAGUACAAUUACUAUAAAAUCCUAGCAAGAUUUUUGUAGAUAAAGAUAUUCUAAAAUUCAUAUGGGAAUGCAAAGGCACCAGGAUAGCCAAACCAAUUUUGAAAAGAAAGAAUAAUGUGGGAGGAAUCAUUUUAUCCAAUUUCAAGACUUAUUAUAUACAAAACUAUGUGAUACUGGUGGGAGAAUAAACACAUAGAUCAAUGGAACAAAACAGAGCAACUAAAAACAGACCUACAUAAACAUGUCAUAUUGAUUUUUGAUAAAGGUACAAAAACCAUUUAAUGGAGAAAAGAUAGCCUUGGCAACAUGGUCCUGGAGCAUGGAUAUCCAUACACCAUAAAAUCAACCUCUACUUAAAUUUUAUACCGUAUACAAAAAUUAACUCAAAAUGGACCAUGGACUUUAAAUGUAAAGUGCAAAACUAUAAAUCUUUUUCAACAAAAUAUCUGAGAAAGUUUUAGGGAUCUAAUGGUAGGCAAAGAGUUCUUAGAUUUGAUGCAAAAACCAUUAACCAUUAAAGUAAAAAUGGAUAAACUGAACUUAAUCAAAAUUAAAAACUUUUGCUUUGUGAAAGACCCGGUUAAGAGGAUAAAAUACCAAUUACAGACUGGGCUACUUUUCUUAACAUCACACAGCAGGCAACAGAGCAGAACUGACUUCAUAUUGAAUCCACUGGGAAAGAGCCUGUUUUUAUUUUUGCUUAGUACAUAUGUGUAAUUCAGGUAAAAAAAUGUUUUAUGCAAAUACAUAAUGACUAGAAGUAUUUUUAUCGAAUAUUAUGGCAGUUUCCCCCUUUAUUCUUUAUGCAUGUGCACUGCA